UGGAAGCUGUUGGGGUCUGGGAAAGGAGAAUUGCCAGAAAUUGACCAAAGUCAUCUGUGCCCAGCAGUGCUCAGGGCGCUGCCGCAGCCGGUCCCCCAGCGACUGCUGCCACAACCAGUGUGCUGCCGGCUGCACGGGGCCCCGCGAGAGUGACUGCCUGGUCUGCCGCAAGUUCUGGGAUGAAGUCAUGUGCAAGGACACCUGCCCGCCCCUCAUGCUGUACAACCCCACCACCUACCAGAUGGAUGUCAACCCCGAGGGGAAGUACAGCUUUGGUGCCACCUGCGUGAAGAAAUGCCCCCGUGAGUUCAUCACAGGCAAAACCCUUUCCUUGAUCAGGCAUCUAUUUCCUCUUUGUGUCCUACCAGGUCCCCUGAGUCCCUUGUUGUGCAGAGUCUUUGGGUCC